AAAAAUAACGGAAAGCAACUGCACCUCAACCCCAAUGAGCAGCUCCGUGAGGCCCUCCACCCUCAAGUUUUUGUCAGUCCCAGUCUCCAGUCCAGGGCCUCAUAGAAGUUAAGUGUGCCACUGCUGUCCUGUCCUCCUAGGAAGACAGUAAGGGUAAGCGGCAGCAGGCUCAGGGCCAGGAACUCAAGGCUAGGGGCUAGGCGUAAGGGUUUAGGGUCUGGGACUAGGACCUGGCAUUCUGGCCAGGAGCCUGGACUCUGAGGUUACAAGACUGCAGCUGAGAGCCUGGGAGCUUAGAGGCUGAGGCCCGCGGGGGUUGGAGAGCCUGGAGGUUGCCAGGAUUAGGUCGGAAGGGGAGGGGAGGAAGAAGCCGCAGGGCUGUGAGGGUGGGCGCCCGGGAGGGAACAGAAAAGUAGGGGUGCGGGGUGGAGGUACACGCUGAGAGGUGAGAGCCCUGCAGUAUCGGACAGGCUAGGCGCCCCGGAGCUGAGGCCGGCAGUCGGUCAGAUUGAGGGGCGGAUCGGGAACAGGGAAAACUAAGAAAAUGCAGUUUCAAAGGGUAGUGUGUGAAGGAGACCCGCCCUCUACAAGGCGGCGUGGACGCCCAAGGAGAUUGGGACCGGGCAGCUGCCGCGGCGUUGGUUCCCGAUGCGCCUACCUCCUUCCCGCCGGUCGCGCGCCAGCGCCCCCGCCCACCGCGCCAGCUGCAGGCCAGGUGACCACAAGGUGGAGCUACAACGCAACUCUGCGCAGCGUGCCUUGGCCACCCAGAAUGUCCCGUGAUGGCUGCUCUCCCGCUUCCCCUCUUGCAGCAACCCCUCCAGCCCAAGAAUCUCUCCGUGAUGACCCCUCAAUGUCAUUCAUGUCACAACAGAGGAUGGAAUGUGCAUCCCCCACCAAGCCCCGGCGCGGAAAAGAUUAGACUAUGACAAAACAGGAGUUAAAUUCAUUGAAUAAGCAGAUUGACACCAUACAGGAACCAACCUGUCUUGAAGAAAAGGCUGUGCACAACAAAAAGCCAGUUAUAGUCACAGAAUUAAAUGGCUAGAUGGGCUCUUCGGCCCUCAGCGUCUAGGCAGGAAAGCAGCUAAAUUGCAGGGGCCAGGGGAGACAGUGAAUGGAGUGAGGACUGGUGACUCCAUCAUCUUAGUUCUCCAGCAAAGGCUAUUUUGUCAUCUCCUUCAGUCAUAGGUCCAAGCUAUCCCAUCCCUGACACACCUUGUGUCUUCUACUCGAGAACACGCACACACAGGUCUGAAACAUUAUCUUGGCAACCUCCUUUCCACUUCCUCUGUUAACAUUUGCAGAGAAACUUCCUAUGAGUCACUGUCUUCCUAACCUAACCUCAGGUCAAAACCCUAAGGGGAGCAGAUUCCAUGGAAGCUUGCAGCAU